CUGGUGAAGUCCCAAGACUGAGUUCAUCUAAUUUGGUGGUUCUCAACCUGUGGGUCCCCAGGUGUUUUGGCCUACCACUCCCAAAAAUCCCAGCUAUUUUACCAGCUGUUAGGCUUUCUGGGAGUUGAAGGCCAAAACAUCUGGGGACCCACAGGUUGAAAACCACUGAUCUAGUUCCUGGAAGUGCUGGUCAAGUGCAAAACGUGGAGCUUUGCUCUGAAAAACUGAAAAUGAUAAACAUUGGGAAUUAGAAAAAACAAUUCAUUGUCAUCAGCACUAAUAUUUGACAAUGUUUGAAUAGUUCAGUAACAAUUAAUCUUAAUUUUUCAAAUGUUAGUUCUCAAAACAGGUUAUUGGAUUAUACAAAGAAUGGCAAAGAUCUUUUCACUGAUGACCUCACAAUAGUACAUUUCAUUACUGGCUCCUUCAAAGAGGCUUUUGAAAAUGUUUCUUUCCUCCAACCUGAAUUUUCCCAGAGGGACUACAAACACAUAAUAUGAUUGUUUCUCAGGAAUGAUGGGUGUCCAGAAUGCCUGAGAACCUUCAAUCUGGGAGAAGCUGUCCCAAGGCAUUUCGAAAAUUUGGUCAAUUAAGUUUGUUGCUCAUUUAUAACACUCUUUUCUUUCCAGUCCCACUAAUAUGUCAGUAUUUAAUAAAGAGUUGUUUUAGUUAGAGGACACUAAUCCACUGCAAGUACAGCUAUAGGUGGAUACAGUAUAGCUACAAAGAUCAGUCAGUGAAUCAAGUGUGAAGAGAGAUUUUUGAGAGUCUCUGAAUGUAUGCAAAAUUGAAUCAUUGCAUUGUUUCUAUGUACUCUUACAUGAAAAAGUGUGGUCUCGAAAGAUUGGGGUAUAAGGAUGGGAUCCAAAAUUUGGUCAGUGGUAUCUUCAGAUUAAACAUUCAAGAAUCUAAGCAGCCACUGUUUUCUGCAUCCCAUCUUGCCUUAAAACCUAUUUAUAUAAAUUGGAUCAAGGGAAAAAAGCAGAAUGAGAAGCACAGUGUAACAGGGCUUCUUCUCCAAAUUGUGCUGUGCUCUCUUUUACGGCCUUGUCUUUUCCUUUAGGCCACAAAAUCUGGUUGGCCUUUCUUUUUUACAUACUUGCACAGAAAGAAUUCAAGAUGCAGAUAAGAGAACCUCACAAUAAUCCUGCCUUUGAGGGGGAAUGGUGGUGACGUAAAUUAUCUGUGGUUGACAAGAUGCUUCUGUAAGAAAAAUAAUUUCUGGAGCUUCUCAGUAGCCAAAGGGAGCAAGAGGGGAAAUGGACACUGGUAGGGCCCCGUUGUCAAUCCUCAGAUAGUAAGAGGCCUACAUACACAGUCACUGCUUUGACAGGUGAAUCACGGGAGAGGAAUGAGUAACAGUCCAUAGACACAGAGCUCGCCAGGAGAGAGUGAGUAAUGUGACAUUUAUUAGAUUGCACAGCCUUGGCAUCCAUCAAAGUCAAAGAGCUGGAGAGUGACAUAACCAUGGGCAGAGAAAGCGAAAGGGGAGGCCGUCCAUCUGCAACGGACUGUUUCUUCCCUGCACCCCUAGCAGUGGCUGCUUUUUUGGAAGGCUGCCUAGAGCAGUGGCUGAAUCGAGUUAUGUUGACAGUGAUGGAUGCAAAGCAAUCCAUGGGGCUGUUUCGUUUGCUUCGGUAGCAGGCAAGACACCCUGCUGGCAGCAGUGACAGAGCAAGAUGCUCUGAACCUGGAGCAGUCACGAGCUCAGGACAGAAACAGCAGGAGGAGGCCUUUGGAAGGAGCCCUUCCCUGUUUCCAGUCGUAAGUUCCACUCAUGGAACCACCUGGUGAGCCUUUAUGUCCACUGGCCUGUGUCACUCCUGGAGAUGAGGAAUCGGGGACAUAUACGUAUCAUGGUGGAAUGCAAAGAAGUUAAAAGGAAUAAGAUAAGAUAGGCUUGCAAAUAAAUCUGAUUUUCAAAGUUCUCAGUAUUUGGUAAAUGGAAAGGGUUUGGGGGGGGGGGGCAGAAAGAAGAGAAAGAGGAGAUGACAUUAGAAGAAAGAGGAUGUUUCGUACCACAUCCUGAAUGCACCUGGCAGAAGCUGUAAGACAACAUAUUUAUAAAUAAAAAUAACAGCAACAACAACAAUAUUUGUUACCCGCCUCUCCUCACAGCUUGAGGCAGGGCACAACAACACACAUCACCAUAAAAUACCAUAAAAUACAUAAACCCAAAUGUUUCCUAUCCUAGGCAGUGGUGUUUGGUGGUCAAUCAAACUGUGAAUUUGAUCUGGGUUUUAGUCUGAACUUUAAUGGUGCUGAACCUAUUUCAGAGAUAGUCUUCAGCGCCUGUAAAAUUUCAAUUAAUCCCAGUGUAGAUUCUCUGUCUGACUGAAAGGGAAAAUACCAACUGUCACAGAUUCUGGGGUGAUUUUAUAAUACAGAUAACUAGUUGCCUCAAAAAACAUGGUAGAAGUUAAUUGCAAACCUCUUCAUGUCCCCCCCCCCCAAAAAAAAAAUUCCUCUCACAUUGCUGGUCUCAAUGUUGAUGCAACAGUUUUACAUGCGACUGGUCGUCAGUACACAUCAUAGAAUCAAGAUUGGGCUGCCAAAGUCACAUUCACUUCAUUGCACUGCUUUGUGAGAAAUAAAUACUUGUGAGUGUGAAUCUAGUUGCCAGGAUGCAAUCUGCAGAGGCUUUACUUUUAAUGUCAACUUUGCACCAGGCUGUUGUGUAAUCUGUACUUAUCCAUUGUUCCAGGUCAAACUCAUCACCAACCUGUUCUUUGAAUGGGGCUUAAGGAUUGUUUCACAGCAGGUGAAGGAAGAUCAGAAGUAAAGAAACUGGAAUUCACUAGCAACCAAGCAACAAUUACAGCCAUCUCAAAUCACACUUGUUCUCUGCUGAAACCCUUCACACCCAACCAUUCCUUGUUUCAGAAGCUAAAGAAGACCAGGCUUGACUAGUACCUGGAUGAGAGCAGAUGUAUGAACUCUAUUUGAAACCAUCAAGGAUCUCCAAGUGGAAAAAUCCAGCUUGAAACCUCUGAGAGAUGAUGCCAAUAAGGGCUGUCUACAGGACAGAUCGAAAGUGGCAACUGCGGCAGGCCCAGUCGCUACUUUUAUGCCUUGGCUCCUUGCAUAGACAACAUGGACUAAAUGGACUAAUGGUCUAAUGAAAAAAAUGAGAAUAUCCAAUAAAAUGUGAAGGAAAAAAAGGAAUCAAGGCCAUGAGGGUGAUUUUCCAGUUGCUUUCCCCUGAAGAAGGCCACACAAAUAUUGAUUGGCUGUAAUACGUUGAGUUAAUUUGCAUAAUAAAACUUCACUGCAUGUCAUGAAUUUUCACUCCCUUAUAUUGCUCUUUUGAAAACCUGGCAACACUAGCUGUAUGGCAUAGGCUUGGGCAACUACACCACUUAUGAUGCCCAAUCUCUGCCUCUGUAUCCUCCCAGCGGAAUGCACCAGGGGCCUUUACACAUUACACG